UUAAAUACACACUGUGGAUGCAUUGAAAUGUCUUUGUUGUUUUCUGGGUACAGAUUUUUCUUUGCGGGGACGAGACGACGUUGGUUCCAUCCUUCCCCACCCCCCUCACUAAUGAAAUUAUUCCACAAGGAGGUUGUACGCUGACUGAUUCGAAAACAUUUAGCUAAAGUGCUUCUUGAAUGUAUCACUGCCGUGUUAUCUUGGAAGCUGUCAGCUGAGACUCCAGAGUGGCCCGGCUCUGCUACUCUCACAUCCCCAGGGAUUUCGGUCUCACAGCAGGAAUGUGGGCUAGAGAAACCGGCUCCACACGGCCCUCCACUCACUUACCUACAGUCAAGCAGCGAAGGGUCCCCGAAGGACUGUCUUCUGAAGCAAGUGUCCCGCCCAAGCAUGAACACAGACAUCGACAGCUGGGGAUCCAUUUGCAGCUUUGGAGCAGACCUCAGUGGCAGCAAGCGUUUAACACCCGAAACUGGAAGAAGCUUAUGGAUUCAGAAAACAAGUGCCAAGCAGGAACCGGAGACUUCCUGGAGGUCCGAGCAAGAUCUCAGACUCGUGGAGAAACUGAGAGUGUGGGCCUGUCUCAGAGGGAUGACGGCCUAGUACCUGCAACCUGAAUAAUCAAGGUGAAGCCGGACACUUCUCUUUGCAGUUGCUCAAGGCAACGCCUGUCACACACACCACUCACAGUCAGCACGGUUUCUCCAUUAGCUCCUGGAGACCCACUGGUCUGCGCCCGACGUCUGUGCCAGCUCACCUUUUCUCCUAGUAUAGCUACAUGGACUUUUCUUCGGCUGUUUAAUUAUUUUAUUUUCUCAUAGACAUUAUUAACAAGAAAUGUUCCCAUAAUGCUUUGCCUUUGACAUUUAAUUGCUGUAAACGAAAGGUGGAAUAAAUGUGGAAUAUAAACAGGAA